rnacentral:rRNA from 1 species
GACGAACGCUGGCGGCGUGCUUAACACAUGCAAGUCGAACGGAAAGGCCUGCUUUCCCUUGUGGAUUGCGGGUACUCGAGUGGCGAACGGGUGAGUAACACGUGAGUGAUCUGCCCCCAACUUGGGUAUAAGCCUGGGAAACUGUGUCUAAUUCCCGAUAGGACUGCAGGGUGGUGCCUGUGGUGGAAAACGAUUUUCUAGUGGUUGGGGAUGAGCUCGCGGCCUAUCAGCUUGUUGGUGGGGUAAUGGCCUACCAAGGCGGCGACGGGUAGCCGGCCUGAGAGGGGGGACGGCGAAAUUGGGACAGAGAUACGGCACAGACUCCUACGGGAGGAAGGAGUGGGGAAUAUUGAACAAUGGGCGGAAGACUGAAGCAGCGACGCCGCGUGGGGGAUGACGGCAUUCGGGUUGUAAACUCCUUUCGACCGAGAGGAAGACACCUGGUUGGAAGGGUGGUGACGGUAGUGGUAGAAGAAGCACCGGCUAACUACGUG